CCUACGGGAGGCAGCAGUGGGGAAUAUUGCGCAAUGGGCGAAAGCCUGACGCAGCGACGCCGCGUGAGGGAUGAAGGCCUUCGGAUUGUAAACCUCUGUCAGCAGGGAAGAACGGUCACUGUGCUAAUCAGCAGUGAAUUGACGGUACCUGCAAAGGAAGCACCGGCAAACUCCGUGCCAGCAGCCGCGGUAAUACGGAGGGUGCGAGCGUUAAUCGGAAUUACUGGGCGUAAAGCGCUCGUAGGCGGUAUGUCAAGUCAAGGGUGAAAUCCCCGCGCUCAACGUGGGAACUGCCUGUGAAACUGGGAAUCUUGAGUGUGUGAGAGGUUAGUGGAAUUCGAGGUGUAGGAGUGAAAUCCGUAGAUAUCUGGAGGAACAUCAGUGGCGAAGGCGACUAUCUGGCACAUAACUGACGCUGAGGAGCGAAAGCGUGGGUAGCAAACAGGAUUAGAUACCCGUGUAGUC
rnacentral:rRNA from 1 species